rnacentral:rRNA from 1 species
CGGACGGGUGAGUAACGCGUGAGUAACCUGCCUUACACAAGGGGAUAGCCGUUGGAAACGACGAAUAAUACCCUAUGACAUAAACUCCUCGCAUGAGGAGCUUAUCAAAGAUUUAUCGGUGUAAGAUGGACUCGCGUCUGAUUAGCUAGUUGGUGAGGUAACGGCCCACCAAGGCGACGAUCAGUAGCCGGCUUGAGAGAGUGUACGGCCACAUUGGGACUGAGACACGGCCCAGACUCCUACGGGAGGAGCAGAU